rnacentral:rRNA from 1 species
UACGGGGGGGGCAAGCGUUGUUCGGAAUUACUGGGCGUAAAGGGCUCGUAGGUGGCCAACUAAGUCGGACGUGAAAUCCCUCGGCUUAACCGGGGAACUGCGUCCGAUACUGGUUGGCUUGAGUUUGGGAGAGGGAAGCGGAAUUCCCGGUGUAGUGGUGAAAUGCGUAGAUAUCGGGAGGAACACCAGUGGCGAAGGCGGCUUUCUGGCCUGUUCUUGACGCUGAGGCGCGAAAGCUAGGGGAGCGAACGGG